CUUGCAAUUUCAGUCCUCCCCUGGAUUCUGCAGUUGAUAAUAUGCAAGCAGUGGAUUCAAUAUACAUUGAAAAUACAUUUCUGCCUUGACAAGAGACACUGAGUAUUCAGCUGCAGUCCUCAGGUGCAGUAGGAAAAUGUAGUGGUCUAUGGAGCUCGGAUUCAGGCUGAUUAAUAUACUGCUAAAUGCUCUUUGGAGCCCAGCCAAGAGAAAUAUAAACAACAAAAGAACUCACUCUGUUUUCCAGGAAAUCCAGCGUGUCCACAUACUGAUAGUCUGCCUGCAGAAAGCCAACAUCUCUCCUGGUCCUAAAAGCUACGGGGAUACAAUUCAAACCGAUGUGUCAUUGCUGGGUUUUCUCUUCACAAGGUUAAGUUCAAGACCUGACUUCUUUUGAAUGGCCCCAAAAGCUCCACAGAGAAUCUCAAUCAAGUGGUUCAGUGCAAUUCAAAUGAAGUUAAGGUGAGAAGAUUCAGGGCAGAUACCCAAAAGAAUUUGUGGAUUUAUUGACUCAACCAUACAGAACUUUUCCUUUCAUCUUGAAAUUAUUUUGGGAAGUACAUUUGAACAGCAACAGGAUGUUUGACAAAGCACUAUAUUUGGUAUGGUGCAUGGGACACAAUGUCAUGUGAUAUCCAGGGCACUAAUGAACCAUGCAGAUAAUUUUAGUACUUCAUAAAGCUUUGUUCCAUAAGUGGUUUGAUUCUCAACUUCUGAAUGCUUCCACUUAUCUCCUUCUCAUGCAGAGUUACCACCAAAGUCAGCCCCACUAAGUUAAUGAGAACCCUGCAGAGAGGGGGAAAAUUUAUUGUUCUUCCCUGGGAUGAAAUCAAGAACUGAUGACAUCUGAGCCUUUCUGAAAUCCUCUCUUAGCUUAGUCUAUGGGAAGUGAGGCAUUAAGAUAAAUGGACAGGUUUUCCAUGAAAUUCAAACUGGAGAACUGAGAUUGAGUAAAGAGUAUGAAGGGGAAAGCUCUGAUGUUUGUUGACAGAGAAUAUUUUCCAUUUAAAUUAUUUGCCUACUGUGAGGUCUUCCGUAUUAUACCUCAAUUUCCCUAAUAACUGUAUAAAAUGGAGUGUAACAAGGAUCUGGGCUGAUUCCUGUGCUGCUGUUUAACAUUUUUAUCAAUGAUGUGGAUGAAGGCACAGAUGGCAGCCUUAUCAGAUUUAAAGAUGACACAAAGUAAUGGUAGAUAGAAAAUAUAAUGGACGCUCAAGCCAGGACUGAAAAUAAUCUUCAAAGGUAAGAACAUUGAGCCAAAUUGAAUAAUAUGUAAAAGGACUAAAUAUAAUGACAUGUUUGCUUUCAAAAUAUCAACUUUAGAAGUACAAAAUGGGAAGCAGCAUUAGAAAACUAUUUGUCUGAAAAAGGUAGGGGUUUUAAGUAGCUUCAAACUCAAUAAGAAUCAACAAUGAAUUAUAAUAACUACAAAAAUUAAUAUUUUCUAGACUGCAUUAAGGGAGGGAGAGCUUCAAGGAAUAUGGAGGCAAUGAUCCCACAUCACACUACAUUGAUCAGAUUACUGCUGAAUUGUUUUGUUCAGUUCUAAUCACCAAAUUAUAGGAUGACCACUGAUGAGUAAGGAAUAGCCAGAGAAUGGUGGUUCGAAAACUGAAAGGACUCAAGUUUGUGACAUUUGAGAUUCAAUCAAAGGAUUUGGGAAUAUAUAGCCAAGAGGUGACAAGGGGAUGAAAAUGAUGGAUUUCUUGAAGGAUGGCCAUGAAGAAUAGAGACUAGUCUUCUUGUUUUGGCCUCUAAUAAGAAUCUAGAGCAAUAAAUAGAUAGAAGUUAUAAUGAGGGAAAUUUAAGUUAAAUGUAUGAGAAUUAUCCAAAAGUGCAUUGACAGGUGGUUGAUUCUCACUCCUUCAAAAUCUUCAAGUGAAGGAUUAAUGAUUUUUAUAAAGGCAUGUUAUAAAGUAAUAGCAUUAUUAUAACCAUGAUAAUGUCUAUUACACUUUUAGGUUUGCAAAGCACUUUAUAUAUAUUAUCUUGUUUGAUCUUCACAAAAAUCCUGGGAGAUAGCUGGAUUUAUUAUCCCCAUUUUACCAAUAAGUAAGGUGAGGCUGAGAGAUAUUAAGACUCUUAAUCAAUUCUUUUUUUUUUUUGUAUUUUUAUUUAUUUAUUUAUUAUACCUUUUUAUUUAAGAGAUAUAUGCAUGAGUAAUUUUAUAGCAAUGACAAUUGCAAAACCUUUUGUUCCAACUUUUCCCUUCCUUCUCCCCACCCCCUCCCCCAGGUGGCAGGUUGACCAAUACAUGUUAAAUAUGUUAAAGUAUAAAUUAAAUACAAUAUAAACAUACAUGUCCAAACAGUUAUUUUGCUGUACAAAGGGAAUCGGACUUUGAAAUAUUGUACAAUUAGCCUGUGAAGGAAAUCAAAAAUUC